CCUACGGGUGGCAGCAGUGAGGAAUAUUGGUCAAUGGGCGGGAGCCUGAACCAGCCAAGUCGCGUGAGGGAAGACGGUCCUAUGGAUUGUAAACCUCUUUAGGCGGGGAGCAAUGCCGGGCACGCGUGCCCUGAGGGAGAGUACCCGCAGUAUAAGCAUCGGCUAACUCCGUGCCAGCAGCCGCGGUAAUACGGAGGAUGCGAGCGUUAUCCGGAUGUAUUGGUUGUAAAGGGUGCGUAGGCGGAUUUUUAAGUCAGCGGUAAAAUGUCCGGGCUCAACCCGGGCCGGCCGUUGAAACUGGGGAACUUGAGUGGGAGAGAAGUAUGCGGAAUGCGAGGUGUAGCGGUGAAAUGCAUAGAUAUCACGAAGAACUCCGAUUGCGAAGGCAGCAUACCGGCGCCCGACUGACGCUGAGGCACGAAAGCGUGGGGAUCGAACAGGAUUAGAUACCCCGGUAGUC
rnacentral:rRNA from 1 species